rnacentral:snoRNA from 1 species
CCUGCCCCUACAGGCAUUACAGGUGUGGGCACUGUGUCACAUGUGCACCAGUACAUGGCUGAGAGGAGAGAGACUGUGUCUCUGCUCAGUAUUCUGACUUCUGAACAUCUGCACGGUUAGUAACCUAACGUA